AGGGGAGUCUGGAAUUCCUGGUGUAGCGGUGGAAUCGCGCAGAUAUCAGGAGGAACACCAAUGGCGAAGGCAGGACUCUGGGCCAUUACUGACACUGAGGAGCGAAAUCGUGGGGAGCGAACAGGAUUAGAUACCCUGGUAGUCCACGCCGUAAACGGUGGGCACUAGUUGUGGGGACCUUCCACGGUCUCUGCGACGCAGCUAACGCAUUAAGUGCCCCGCCUGGGGAGUACGAUCGCAAGAUUAAAACUCAAAGGAAUUGACGGGGCCCCGCACAAGCAGCGGAGCAUGCGGCUUAAUUCGACGCAACGCGAAGAACCUUACCAAGGCUUGACAUAUACAGGAAUAUGGCAGAGAUGUCAUAGCCGCAAGGUCUGUAUACAGGUGGUGCAUGGUUGUCGUCAGCUCGUGUCGUGAGAUGUUGGGUUAAGUCCCGCAACGAGCGCAACCCUCGUUCUGUGUUGCCAGCAUUUAGUUGGGGACUUCACAGGAGACUGCCGGGGUCAACUCGGAGGAAGGUGGGGGAUGACGUCAAAUCAUCAUGCCCCCUUAUGUCUUGGGCUGCACGCAUG
rnacentral:rRNA from 1 species